UUUGGCUAUAAUAAGGUAGGCUGCUUGGCAUCUCUCGAGCAGCCAGAGGUAAAGCCUCGCUCUCAAACCAUGCUGUGGACGAGCGCUGCGACCGGUCUAUAGGUCUCAUGUCGUAGAGAUCGGGAUUGUUUGCAGUUAUGACACAGGACUCGGUCUCCGCUCCGCAGCACGUGACCAAAUCUGAUCCUGUGGUUUUUUUGUAAGGCUAGGUCGUAGAGUUUGAGUCUUGAGUAUCUAAGGUCGAGCACAGGCGCUUGGUCUAUUUUUUUCCUCUCUUUCGCGCAGCUCUACCGCUCCGCCUCCUCAGCGCGCAACUUUGACGCUCUGUGUAUAUACUGGAACAAAAGAAGAACUUCCUCGAUGGCUUGUGAAACGGCAAUAUAAAAAAGGUGAAACUGUGAUACGAAUUGAAAUGAACGUGCUUCAGGAGGGAAUUGUCAAUACAUAGUAGAACAUCCCUCUAUAGAGUCAAGUGAUGUCUUCAUAUAUAUAUACUUAUUUUUUUCCGCAUCGCUUUGGAAUUUGCCUGGUGGUGAUGUCAGAAUGCUGAAGACAAUUAAUGAUGGAGUCCUGGAGUGCCUCAUGUCCUAUUGAGAGAGAGAGAGAGGGAGAGAAAGGAAGGGAGGAAGGGGAGUCACACGCAUGUGGUUCUGGCUGUGCUUGGUUGUGUUGCCG